rnacentral:sRNA from 1 species
GCUGGGUGCAGUGGCGCCUGCCUGUAAUUCCAGCUGUUCGGGAGGCUGAGGCAGGAGGAUCACAAGUUCGUGGCCAGCCUGGGAAACUUAGUGAGACCCUGUCUCAU